CCUACGGUCGGCAGCAGUGGGGAAUAUUGGGCAAUGGGCGCAAGCCUGACCCAGCAACGCCGCGUGAAGGAAGAAGGCUUUCGGGUUGUAAACUUCUUUUCUCAGGGACGAAGCAAGUGACGGUACCUGAGGAAUAAGCCACGGCUAACUACGUGCCAGCACCCGCGGUAAUACGUAGGUGGCAAGCGUUAUCCGGAUUUACUGGGUGUAAAGGGCGUGUAGGCGGUACUGCAAGUCAGAUGUGAAAACCAUGGGCUCAACCUAUGGCCUGCAUUUGAAACUGUAGUUCUUGAGUACUGGAGAGGCAGACGGAAUUCCUAGUGUAGCGGUGACAUGCGUAGAGAUUAGGAGGAACCACAGUGGCGAAGGCGGUCUGCUGGACAGCAACUGACGCUGAGGCGCGAAAGCGUGGGGAGCAAACAGGAUUAGAUACCCCAGUAGUC
rnacentral:rRNA from 1 species